AUUGUGUGAAUACAUAGCACAUUCGAGGUAGACGCAGAGAACUGAAACAUCUAAGUACCUGCAGGAAGAGAAAGAAAAUUCGAUUCCCUGAGUAGCGGCGAGCGAAACGGGAAAAGCCCAAACCAGCAAGCUUGCUUGUUGGGGUUGUAGGACUCCAAUAUGGUAGUUCUUUCAGAUAGUCGAAUGACUUGGAAAAGUCAGUCAAAGAGGGUAAAAACCCCGUAGACGAAAUGUGGAAGACACCUAGGAGGAUCCUGAGUACGGCGGAACACGAGAAAUUCCGUCGGAAUCCGGGAGGACCAUCUCCCAAGGCUAAAUACUCCCUAGUGACCGAUAGUGAACCAGUACCGUGAGGGAAAGGUGAAAAGCACCCCGGAAGGGGAGUGAAAUAGAACCUGAAACCGUGUGCCUACAACAAGUCAAAGCCCGUUAAUGGGUGAUGGCGUGCCUUUUGUAGAAUGAACCGGCGAGUUACGAUUGCAUGCGAGGUUAAGUUGAAGAGACGGAGCCGCAGCGAAAGCGAGUCUGAAUAGGGCGUUUGAGUAUGUAGUCGUAGACCCGAAACCAUGUGAUCUACCCAUGUCCAGGUUGAAGGUGCGGUAAAACGCACUGGAGGACCGAACCCACGUACGUUGAAAAGUGCGGGGAUGAGGUGUGGGUAGCGGAGAAAUUCCAAACGAACUUGGAGAUAGCUGGUUCUCUCCGAAAUAGCUUUAGGGCUAGCCUCGGAAUUGAGAAUGAUGGAGGUAGAGCACUGUUUGGACUA
rnacentral:rRNA from 1 species